UUCAAUGGGGACAAAGGAUGUGGGUGACGCAUAUAAAUUGGAAAUCAUGAUCCAUGAUGAGUUGGCUGUUGCUUUUCUCUGCAGGGUGGUAUACCCAAACCCACUGAACCAGUCUUAUAUUUCUCUACAGGGUGGUAUAAUAACAAAAAGCUUCACGUUCCGCCAUUACAAUGACUCUUCUAUUGAUGAUUUUUUUUAAUGUGUGCAGAAUAAAGAGGUAACUGAAUCUAUUCAGAGAAGUGUUGCUGCCUAUAACUGCAAGAUCGUUGAAGGGUGCAAAAUCAUCAGUUACUAUGAUUGUGGUUGCGGCUGGUUGAAGGGUGCAAGACCUGAAUUGUUGCUUAUGGUUGAUGCUGCAUUGGUGUUAUUGUGUACCAAAUGGUUGUAAGUUGCUGCAAUUAGACAAGUAUGGCUACUGCUUGUACCUGCAAUAGCGAUUGAUAGAGGUGAAUACCUUGUCCUUGACUAGUAGAGUCUAAAGUUCUGCAAGUUCUGUGUCUUGUGACCAAGGAAGCUGGUGCCCAGGUCAUAAUCACUGAAAUUGGUUAUAGAUCUCUUGUAAAUUGAUUUAGUUUUUUCUUUAGGACUUGUAGCACUUUUCUCUAGGACAUAAAUCCUUUUUGUAUGAUAUUGAACUAAAUUUACAAUUUAAUGAAUGUAAUUGACAUUUUAUAUGAAAUGAAUUAUUAUUUGUUUUCAUC